UCGGAGAGCUUGCUCGAAGACGGUGAGAGUGGCGCACGGGUGCGUAACGCGUGAGCAACCUACCUCUAUCAGGGGGAUAGCCUCUCGAAAGAGAGAUUAACACCGCAUAACAUAUGUGACCGGCAUCGGUUGGAUAUUAAAUAUUUAUAGGAUAGAGAUGGGCUCGCGUGACAUUAGCUAGUUGGUAGGGUAACGGCUUACCAAGGCGACGAUGUCUAGGGGCUCUGAGAGGAGAAUCCCCCACACUGGUACUGAGACACGGACCAGACUCCUACGGGAGGCAGCAGUAAGGAAUAUUGGUCAAUGGGCGGAAGCCUGAACCAGCCAUGCCGCGUGCAGGAUGACUGCCCUAUGGGUUGUAAACUGCUUUUGUCCAGGAAUAAACCUUUCUACGUGUAGGAAGCUGAAUGUACUGGAAGAAUAAGGAUCGGCUAACUCCGUGCCAGCAGCCGCGGUAAUACGGAGGAUCCGAGCGUUAUCCGGAUUUAUUGGGUUUAAAGGGUGCGUAGGCGGCCUAUUAAGUCAGGGGUGAAAUACGGUGGCUCAACCAUCGCAGUGCCUUUGAUACUGAUGGGCUUGAAUCCAUUUGAAGUGGGCGGAAUAAGACAAGUAGCGGUGAAAUGCAUAGAUAUGUCUUAGAACUCCGAUUGCGAAGGCAGCUCACUAAGCUGGUAUUGACGCUGAUGCACGAAAGCGUGGGGAUCGAACAGGAUUAGAUACCCUGGUAGUCCACGCCCUAAACGAUGAUAACUCGAUGUUGGCGAUAGACAGCCAGCGUCCAAGCGAAAGCGUUAAGUUAUCCACCUGGGGAGUACGCCCGCAAGGGUGAAACUCAAAGGA
rnacentral:rRNA from 1 species